rnacentral:rRNA from 1 species
UACGUAGGGAGCAAGCGUUGUCCGGAAUCAUUGGGCGUAAAGCGCGCGUAGGUGGCUUCGUAAGUCCGUUGUGAAAGUCAAAGGCUCAACCUUUGAAAGCCGAUGGAUACUGUGAAGCUAGAGUACGGAAGAGGCGAGUGGAAUUCCUGGUGUAGCGGUGGAAUGCGCAGAUAUCAGGAGGAACACCAAUAGCGAAGGCAGCUCGCUGGGACGUUACUGACACUGAGGCGCGAAAGCCAGGGGAGCAAACGGG